rnacentral:rRNA from 1 species
AUUGAACGCUGGCGGCAGGCCUAACACAUGCGAGUCGAACGGUAACAGAAAGCAGCUUGCUGCUUUGCUGACGAGGGGCGGACGGGUGAGUAAUGUCUGAGAAACUGCCUGAUGGAGGGGGACAACUACUGAAAACGGUAGCUAAUACCGCAUAACGUCGCAAGAACAAAGAGGGGGGGCUUCGGGCCUCUGGCCAGCGUAUGCGCCCGGCUGUGGUUAGCUGGGAGGUGGGGUAACGGCUCACCUAGGCGACGAUCCCUAGCUGGUCUGAGAGGAGGACCCGCGACUCUGAAGCUGACACACGAUACAGGCUCCUACGGGAGGCAGCGGUGGGGACUAGUGCACACUGGGCGCAAGCCUGCUGCAGCCACGGCACGUGUAUGCAGAAGGCCUUCGGGUUGUAAAGUGGUUUCCGCGGGGAGGACGGGAGUCACGUUAAACCCUUCGCUCAUUGACGUUACCCGCAGAAGAAGAACCGGCUACCUCCGU